AUUUUUUCAUUUUUUUGUUCGGUCUUUUGAUAAAUGAACUCGAAAUAGAUAAAUUAUGUUCCUUUGAUGUCUUUGUUCUAUAUUCUUUGUUCAAUUUCUUGCUUUUGUGUAUAUUUUUUUUUUCCUAUUUCUUCAGUUAUGCUGUUAAAUCUGUUGUCAUUUUAUUUUUGUGUUCGAUCUUUUAGGAGUUCGAACCCAGAAUCCCGGCUAUUUUGACAACUCAGGUUAGUUCCCUUUUUCAAAUUUCUGUAAUUUUAUACUAAUUUCUUUAUUGUAAUGAAUCCCUGUUUGAUUUAUUGAAUUUUACUUUUACGGGAUGAUGAUUAUUGUGAUUAGAAUGACUUGAAAAUACUUUUAUCUGUAUGGAUGUUAGUUGAAGCAUAUGUUAAUUAGUAGUAAUCAUCCUUGACAUCCCUUAGUUAUAUGUCAUAAUUUUACAUGCUGUCAAAUGAAUAAUAAAGUUAGCUUAAGUAUUAACUCUAAGCAAGCACCCCAGCAUCCUCAAAAUGUAAGUAUAUAACUAUUUUUCUUAAAAAAAAUUAUCCUUUAAAUUGUAUUGAACAAUCAAAAAUUUCUUCAAGAAUUUGCCCAAUUUAUUCAUAUUUUUCAAGAAAUUAAUAUUUUUUCUUGAUAAUUGUACUUUUGAAUUGAUAUCUCUAAAUCUUGGAAGAGAAAGAAGAUGAAAUUACAAGGAAGCAAAUUACAAACAAUAGAGAAAGCCACAGCAAGAGAAACGAAAUGGGCCUUACUACAAGUUGUACUCAAAUUUUCCAAUUUUUAUAAAAUUAAGCUUACCUUUCAUGUUUUAAUUUUUUUAUAUUUUCUUGAAUUAGCUGGUUGAUACGCUAAAGAGGAAACAAGGCAUGAAGAAAAUUCUACUUUUACUUGGCUUCAGUUCAUCUUUUAGCAGUAGUUUCGAGGCAUAAGCUUCUGUUCAACAGACCCUCUGACAAGAUGACACUUCUUAUACUAUCGGUGUUAUGAGUGAUCUCCUUAAUAUGCUUUACAUUAUUUUCCUCUAUAGACUUUUUCCAUUGUUCCAUUCCUUAGAUUGAUGUUAGCAAUGUCUUUCUGGUUCGUAUUGACAGGAAUUUUCCAAAUAUAAAAUAUAAGUUUGCAAUUACUGGUAUAACUGUUGAAGUAUAAAGUGAAAACCUUGUUUCUUUUUUGUUUUUGAGUAUUUACAGGACCAGAAAGCACCAGCAUGUUCCAUUUUGUAUGGAGAGUGAAAGUUUCGAUUGAUUACUAUUAAGGAUAGAUGAUACUUAUAUUUCAACUUGGACCAACUCACCACCAAUUCAUCCAAUGAUUUGAAGAUUUUGGAGUGACGAAUGCGAAUAGUUGCAUCCUGGGCUUUUUCUACCGCAGCAAAAGCGAACAUAUACGAAUGAUCUACAUAUUUUUUUCAAGUUUCUUAAUGUUGUGUAUUUGAGCAAGCAAAUAAAAAUGUUUGGUAGUUGAAUGUUGAGGGAGUACAUAUACUAAAAUAUACGAUUCAUUAAGUAAAAUCUAUAUUAUUUUAAUAUUUUUGGACUUGCAUGCUGCAGCCUGUGCUUUAAUUUUUGUUUUUUUUUUUAAAGUUUAGGUCAUUUGUGAGCUGUCUUUGUUAAUGUUGUCCCAGAUCCAAAUUGUAUGAGAACAUCAAUCAAAAUUUAUGUCCAAGUAAUUUGUAUUUUUGUGGUUAAUGAUAUGUAAUUGCCGUUUCUUGCAGAUGACAUUAUGUGAGGCUUUAAAUUUGACACUUGAUGAAGAAAUGUCUACUGACUUCAAAGUCGUUUUAAUGGGUGAAGAGGUAAACUGGAAGUUUUAGUUUACUAUGAGAAGAAAAUGCAAUUAGGCAAAUUGUUGCUUUGCUAUUUUUGGAUUUCACGACUUUUUUUAACUUGUUUAUUACUAAUACAUAGGUUGGUGAGUGUUACUCGUUCAAUAGCACCUCAACUACUUGAAUAACAAAACUUUUCUUAAUCUUAUUUUUAUUUUUUCAGUAAUUAGUAUUUUAUUUUUACUUUAUUUUACUUUAAUUUUCAAAGGACUUUUGAAGAAGUAUGGUCCCGACGGAGUUUUGGAAACUCCUAAUAUUGAGGUUUCUCUUUGCCUUAAAACUUUUGAAUUGUUUUUGUUGUCUUUGUAAUAAUUUCCAUACUCAACCAAUUUAUAUAUUGCAUGCCAGAUUUAUUGGAAUUGGAGUUAGUGCAGCUUACUAUGGUCUCAAGCCUGCGAUUUACAUGACUUUUAACUUCUCUAUGCAGGUGAGAAUUCUUUCUUUGAGCUAUGUUUAACCAUAUUUGGAAAUAUUUCCAUUCAAUUUUGAAUUGAUUCUUUACAAAUCCAAUGGUGCCUCAAUUGUCUGCCAUUAAAUGCAACCUGAGUAUUCUAUUGGUUAAUAUCUUUAAGUGCAUUUGAUUCCAUAAUGAUGCUCUACAAAUGUUAUGAUUUAGCUAAAAUUUGAUUUCGUAUUACCUCUUAAGUGGGAUAUUAAUUUGACAAACUGUGAAAAGAAUUCUAUGUUGGUUUGUACGUUAUUCAACAAGUUUAUCUUGCCUGGAAUCAUGCUAAUUUAACAUAACUAAUUUUGAUUCUGUUACUGGCUUUUUAGUUUUAUAGAAUCUUGAUCUGGUUUCCUCUACCAUGAUAUUUUUUAUUCUUACUUUCUUUGUUUUUUGGAGGUUUCAAAUGAUUAAUUGGUUAUGAUUUAUCUUAAUGGCUUAAUUCAUGAAAGAAAGUGGAUUAAUUGUGCUUAGAGGUAGUAUAUAUAGCAAUGGGUUUGCAAGAUUUUAAGGUAUUGGAGUGUAUAGGAAUUUUAGGCAUUAGCAGUUGUAGAAAUAAUGAAUUAUUACUCGAUUGAACUCUGUAAUGACUAGAUUAAAGUUUGAUUUAUUUGAUUUUGAAAGUCAAUCUACGUUGAGUAUGUUGGACUUGUUAGUUUAUUUAAUAAUAUGAAGAAUGAUUUGUUAAAUAUGAGCAUCUUAAGCUUAAAGAAAUUCUUAGAAAUUUGUUUGAGUUGCUUUAUUGGUAAAAUGUUAUUCAUUUUAAAAUUUUGAUCAAUCACUUUUGACUUUGACUACUCCAGCAACUCUUCUAUUGUCUUCUUUAUGUUGAUUAUAUUAGUUUUAAUUGAAGAGAGAUUAUGAAUAAAUACAUGAAAUUGAGUUAUAUAAACAAACUGAUAUAGUAAAAAAUUUAUUGUCUUCCAAUGCAGCCUCUUGAAAGCCUAAUUGAAUUUCUAUGUUGGAGUUUGAAUAAUUAGCAUCUUAUUCUCAAACUCUGAUAGUUCUUGUCUUAAGCCUUUUGUUUGGUUUUAUUACAAUUUUCUUAUCCUAUAGGUAAUUUUUUUUUGUGGAAAUUGGGUUACAUGGCCUAUCUUAUAAUACACUUUGCAAAUUUAGCCUUUGACUAGGAAAAAAGUAUUAAAAUAAAUAUUUUAAAUUAAAAUUAACAAACUACCUAAAUUACGCUCAUUCUAUCAAAACAGAUUUUUCCUUUUUCAUUUUCAUUUUUCUUUACCAUAUUCAUCUCCUCUCUAGAACGGUAUUCAAUCUUCCCAUUUGACUAGUCAGAGAUCGAUUGGAUCUAGAUUUUCUCUUCUUCUUAAGCCUCGUAUCACAUGUAUAUGCUCAGAUCCAAUUGAUUGAUUGAUUUGAAUGCAAUGGCCAGUAAUAAUAGUAAUGGAGAAGACAUAGAAAGUUCGGAUGAUAAUGAGAUUUCGUUUGGCAGGGGCAUGGGAGGAUGCAAGUACAGACCGCUAUUUGUUCAUGACCACGAUUGAGCUGUGCUUGAGAUGUCGUCAAUCGAUCCUGGUGAUGCAUCUUCGUCAUCUUCGUUACCUGUUCGGAACAAUGUCAAGUAAAUUUAUCUCCACUUUCAUGAUUGCUCUACUACUAAUUUGAAUGCUAGUACUUUAUGUAUUUAAUUGUUUGAGAAGUGAGUAUUUUCGAACAAGUACAACAAUUUCAGCACAGAGAACAACCUUUUGUGUAUCUAAGUUUAAAGAACCUGAGCUUUGAUCGGGCAUUAUGAUUGAAUUUUUUGUUUUUAUGGAACGAAAGAGAAUUAUGUUACCUAUUUGCAGCAUACUAGCAACUGAAAAAAAAAUGGGUGGAAGGAACAUUGGAGAAAUGGGUGACUACAGUCCAUUUGCUUUUUUUCUUUUGAGGGAAAAAAUCUGGAUGCACCUGCCAUAAAUAUUGGAUAUAGGAAGUUGAAUCUAGUAAACACACUUAACGUAUUGACAAGUAUUCAUAUCAUAAACUGUACGGGUAUGUAGAAUGAAAUAUAAGGAGAUAAUGCUUAGACAGUGUUUCAAGUGGCGUUUUGUGUAUUGCCAAAGAUUGCUCAAGAUUAUGUCAAUUAUGUUUGAAAUCAUAAAUUAUGCUACAAAUUAAUGGUUGAAAUAAUAAACUAUGCUCGUUUUGUGUUUGACUUGCUUUUUAGGCAGUAUUUGGUUGGUAUUAUGCGACAAAUUAUAAAUUACAAAGCAUAAGGACCUACUAUGCUAGUGCAACAACUUAGUGUCUUGUUUUAUUCUUACAUGGAGAGAAAUGUGAAAUUAUGCUGCCAAUAUGCCUCUUUUGAUUGGGAAUUGGGCAUGUAAAGAUUCUAGUUUUGGAUAAAACUAAAGCUAUAUAAGCAAAGCUUUGCAAAUUUAUUUAACUUGUGACAGUUAAUGAGAUUAAUUAGACCUCUUUCUAUCAAUUCUAGAAAUAGCACCCCGUCGUUUAUGAAUUAUGAAAAUGUCACUUUGUCGUUUAUCUGUUUUUGAAAAUGAAUUGUACUAAGAAUCACUUAACAUUACUGUAAAUUCUUCACAUUUGUUCAUUGGUUAAUUAACAUGAUCGUUUUAUGAUUUUUAUUGUAGAAAUGGAACACUCAUUUGAGUAUGUGAUUAUCGUUGAAGAUAGAUUUAAAAGGAGACCUUCACAGAAGUGUUCCCUUAAAAAAACUUGACUACGUUCGGGAGAUGUUAGAUGACGUUCAUAGAUAAGUGGUACAUGCCAUUUUGGGCUACAUUCUCGAUUUCACUCUAAAAUUAACAUAAUUGUUCUCUUUGUAUUUUUUCAAUUUUAUGUGAUCGGAGGAUAAAUGACUUAGAUGCUAAUUUUGCCUAGAUGGGAAUGUUUUGUAUGAUUUAGUUGGAAAACAAGUACAUGAAUGUUGAUUUUGUAAUGGACGCUGACUAGUGCAACUAUAAAAUUUUGCAAUGUUUUCAUUGUAUGAAUGUUUUAUUCAAAC
rnacentral:lncRNA from 1 species